rnacentral:rRNA from 1 species
CCUACGGUGUGCAGCAGUGGGGAAUAUUGGACAAUGGGCGAAAGCCUGAUCCAGCCAUGCCGCGUGUGUGAAGAAGGCCUUCGGGUUGUAAAGCACUUUCAGUGGGGAAGAAAGCCUUGGGGCUAAUACCCUCGAGGAAGGACAUCACCCACAGAAGAAGCACCGGCUAACUCCGUGCCAGCAGCCGCGGUAAUACGGAGGGUGCGAGCGUUAAUCGGAAUUACUGGGCGUAAAGCGCGCGUAGGCGGUCUGAUAAGCCGGUUGUGAAAGCCCCGGGCUCAACCUGGGAACGGCAUCCGGAACUGUCAGGCUAGAGUGCAGGAGAGGAAGGUAGAAUUCCCGGUGUAGCGGUGAAAUGCGUAGAGAUCGGGAGGAAUACCAGUGGCGAAGGCGGCCUUCUGGACUGACACUGAGGCUGAGGUGCGAAAGCGUGGGUAGCAAACAGGAUUAGAUACCCCGGUAGUC